rnacentral:rRNA from 1 species
GACGAACGCUGGCGGCGUGCUUAACACAUGCCAGUCGAACGAUGAUGCUCCAGCUUGCUGGGGUGGAUUAGUGGCGAACGGGUGAGUAACACGUGAGUAACCUGCCCCCUUCUUCGGGAUAAGCUUGGGAAACUGGGUCUAAUACUGGAUAUUCUGCAAUUGUCGCAUGGUGGUUGUGGGAAAGAUUUUUUGGUGGGGGAUGGGCUCGCGACCUAUCAGCUUGUUGGUGGGGUGAUGGCCUACCAAGGCGUCGACGGGUAGCCGGCCUGAGAGGGUGACCGGCCACACUGGGACUGAGAUACGGCCCAGACUCCUACGGGAGGCAGCAGUGGGGAAUAUUGCACAAUGGGCGCAAGCUUGAUGCAGCGACGCCGCGUGAGGGAUGACGGCUUUCGGGUUGUAAACCUCUUUCGAUGGGGAACAAGGCCAUAUUUUUGUGUGGUUGAGGGUACCUGUAUAAGAAGCGCCGGCUAACUACGUG